UAAUACACACUGUGACUGGGCUAAGC
rnacentral:piRNA from 1 species